AUUGAACGCUGGCGGCAUGCCUUACACAUGCAAGUCGAACGGCAGCGUGGGAGCAUCUUGCCUUUCCCGCCGGCGAGACGGGAACGUGAGAUUAGUACAUCGGAACUUGCCCUGUAGUAGACGAUUACUAGUCGUAAGAAUAGCUACUACCGUAUACUACCUGAGGGUGAAAGUGGGGAACCGCAAGGCCUCAUGCUAUAGGAGCUACCGAUUUCUGAUUAGCUAGUUGGUAGGGUAAAGGCAUACCAAGGCGACGAUCAGUAGCUGGUCUGAGAGGACGAUCAGCCACACGGGGACUGAGACUAGGCCCAGACUCCUACGGGAGGCAGAAGUGGGGAAUUUUGGACAAUGGGCGAAAGCCUGAUCCAGCAAUGCCGCGUGUGUGAAGAAGGCCUUCGGGUUGUAAAGCGCUUUUGUCCGGAAAGAAACGGUACUGGUUAAAACCCUUGGUGAAUGACGGUACCGGAAGAAUAAGGACCGGCUAACUACGUGCCAGCCGCCGCCGUAA
rnacentral:rRNA from 1 species